GGAUGAAACGAGACACAAAGGAACAAGGGAGAAUCGCGUGGGUGAAGCUCGUUCGACUGUAGUAUGGUUUUCCAACGUCGAGGGAACCGGUACCGGUUUUUCGUGGCGCAAAAGAAAAAAGGAAAGAAAAAACAAUACCGCGACCUUAACGGAUAUGGUCAGACCAGAUAUUCCGCGUGUUCGACGUUGUCCUCGAGCAUCUACGAUCCGCGUGUUUCUUCUUUGCUUCUGUUGCCUCUUUCUUCCUUCUCGUUGUGUUCUCUUUGCCGGCGACAAAAGCCACCUUGUGUUAUGUCUCCUCUUUGUUUCUUGUCGAAUCUUUGUUAGCCGUUGAUGCUUCAAACAUUUUCUCGAUGGUAUUGUCUUUUAGGCUACGAGUCGAUAUUCCUACCAACAUCACUAUUGUUGUCAUUAUUGUAAGAUCCAGAAGAAGUUAUAGUUUGCCAUCCGCUUACAUCACGUUCAAAGUUAUGGUGAAUGCAGUAAACAUGCCGUCGUUGUUGGAAGCUCUGGAGCUGAAAUACGGUAGUUCAACGACUGACUGCUCCCUCACGGACGAGGAGACCGAAUCGAGUUCUCCGAAGGCCGCCCUCUCGGUCAGCAUCUUCAUCCCGAAGAAGUCACCCCGUCACACGGUGCCAGCGUUGCUGGUGUUGCAAGACUGCGAUAUCGAAUCAGCCGGCAACGACGCGGAAAAACUUCGCAACAAAUGCAAGAACGUCGAGGAGUUGGAUCUGGCACAGAACAAACUGUCCCAAUGGACGGAAGUGUUCGGCAUCCUGCAGCAUAUGCCCAAGAUCAAAUUCGUCAACUUGAGCUUCAAUUGUUUAGCGGAAGUUUUAGAUAUCAAACACGGUAGUUACGACCUCCUGAAGAACCUUGUGUUAAACGGCACCAGGGUCUCCUGGUCGACGGUUCAGGGACUUAUUCGGUUGCUCCAUAAUCUGGAGGAGCUGCAUCUCUCCCUCAACGAGUACAAGACGGUCGAUCUGGAGUAUCAGAAACCGGAGAAUGGGAACGAUUCGCUGAGGAAACUCCAUUUUACCGGAAAUCCUGUCGAGGUAUGGAACGAGAUCUCCAAACUGGGGUACAUCUUCCCGAAUCUGGAGAGCCUGGUGCUCGCAGAGUGCCCCUUAAGGUCAUUGGCCCUAGUGGAUAAUAGGAAUUCGAACGAGGAGACGUGUCCCAAAAAGGAGACCAAGAAUGUUAGUCAGGACAACGAGAACAUGAACAACGUGGAAGUUGAAGAGAAUACGGUGGACGAAAAAGGGAACAGGAUAUUCACCGAGGUGAAGGUCAACUACGACAGGUCCGAAUCAGAAUCGGAGUCCAGUGGGACGACUAUUAAAUCCUCCCACGAUCCCUUUAGGAAACUCAGGUUUCUAAACGUGAAUGGUACCCUGUUGUCCACCUGGGACGACGUGGAAAGAUUGGCCAGAUUUCCGGCGUUGAAAUCGUUGAGGAUUCAGGGUUGUCCUCUUUUCGAGAGUCCUCGAGAGUACACGGAACACGAAAGGAGGCAAUUGUUGAUUGCCAGGCUUCCAAAUGUGGAGACUUUAAACGGCGGUGGAGUGAUAUCGUCACAAGAGCGCGAGGACGCCGAGAGGGCCUUCAUUCGAUACUACAUGGAUAAACCGGAAGCUGACAGACCCGAAAGGUAUUCCGAGCUUGUAGCUAUUCAUGGAAAGCUGGAUCCUCUGGUACACGUUGACCUGACGCCAGAGAAAAGGGUCAAGGUCACGUUCACUUACGGAGACCUAGUCGAGGUACGAUCUGUAGAUGUGUACAGAACGGUUUUCGAAUUGAAAACUAAACUGGAGACAAUGGUUAAAAUUCCUGCCAAUAGGAUGAGACUCUUCUACGUGGAUCAGGUUAUGAAGGCGCAGUACGGACCGGAAGAAAUGUUGUAUCCGAAUAAACAGCUGUACCGAUACAAUAUUCGAAACGGUGACGAGAUUAUAAUCGACAGCAAAUUAAAUCGUUUCGUCUCAACAUCUUCGACUACGUCUUCCAUUCGUUCCUGAAGAAGAUUUACUAGCGAAUCGUCGGACGACAUGAAACAUACCUGACGGUUGUUGGGAUCUGAUCUCCAUUAACGGAUCUACGGUUCGCAACACGAGUUUGCUUCGAUCGUAGAUCGACCACAUAAUACAUACACCGAAUAAUUGUUCUAGAAAUUGUAUUUAUCGAUUCUUCAGGGUCAAGGAGCGUAACAUGUAUACACUAAGAGCCGGUGGAAGAAACGUUGCGAAUGACGAAUGAGUGUACGAAGAGAGACGAAUUGGGAUAUUUAUGCAGAAUGAACGUGUGUAAAUUGAAAUUUGACCUAGGCAGGUUCGAUGGAGGCAAAUGAAACUUUGAAUACUCGCAGGAUAACGCAUAUAUGCUAUUCGUCAUGUUUUUACGAGAAAUUUCAAUUAAUACGCGUUUGCAAACUUUAGAGACUCUUCGUAGCUUCGCAUUAAUUGUUAGCGUAGUUUUCAGUGAAAUCGAUGGGGAGAGUAAACAAAAAAUUGUAUAAAGUACUUAGUUAAGUAGUACUCGAUUUACAAAUUGUUUUCAAUUAGUGUGCAUUGUCUGUUGCUUCGAAAGAUGCAAGUUAACGUAUGUUGACCACUGUACAGAAGAGAAAAUCUAGUGACUCGAUGGUCCAUUCGAUCGGUUAUGAAACAUUAAAAAUCACGUAGAUCUUACUGUCGCAAAUGCGCCGAUAUUUAGUAAAGGUGACAAUUUUUUUUAAGGACAAAGCGAUACAGUUCGAUCAUACAUACGAAUUUACCGUGUCUAAAGAGAUAUACAUACAUAUUGCAGCAAGACGUACAAUCGAACUUUAUCAACUACGUUUCGCGUAGCGGUGACAACAAUUUUGGCUAAGAAGAGACUCAAUUUCUAAACGUGGCACGACCACGCGAUCGCAGGACAAUGCAACGUGAAAAAAAAAUUGUCGAAUAGAAUGAACUAUUUUUAUAGAUUGCAGCCGUCUGUGUAUAAGAUAACGUGGAAAAAUCGAUAUAGCUUUGUUCCGUUUCCACUAACGACUUUUUUUCGAGAAGAAGUAAACACUUGCUUUAUGCCGUAGCAGCUUAAUUAAUUCGAGAUUACGUACGUUUAAAUAGAUGGUAGAGGAACGAAGAAAUUACUUCUGAAUUAUGGAAAGAAAGUUACACUAGGAUUUCGAUGUGUACUUAACUUUGGAAGUUGUCAGUACACGAUAACAAUGCAUUAAAAAGAUCAUUUAUUUCCCGAAGUCUGACGGCUACUGCUUAUACAUAGCUAAAGCGCAAGAAGAUAUUGCACUCGUACAAAUGACGAUACGAACAUUUGAUAAUUCGACGAUGCAUUUCUAAACUGAAAAAUAAACGUAGAUGACUCGGUAUGCGUUCGCUGAUACAUCAAAUUUAAGUUAUUAACAGUGUAAGAGUUUAAAAAGGAAGACACGAAGAUGUACGUUUCAGUUUAAUCGCUUGCAAGGAUGGAACCUUGAAGAGUCACUUAGUGCCUGCCUUUUAAUAGCGUAACUCGGAUACCUCUAACACUGCCCUGUAAAUACCGUGUAAACGCGUACUUCGAAGCAUCUUCGUCGACUCUUCACUGUUGACCGGUUUGUGAAUGUCAUCUCUGGCGUUGGCAUAUCCGAUUCAGCGCGCUGAAUUGGCAGCUUUUUUAUAUACGUCAAAUCUAUUACACCUUUGCGUGUAUCCGAGAGGUAGAAGAACAACUCGUUGUUAAAAAUUUAAAGAAGAAACCGUCUAAAAAUAUGCGAAACGAGGUAAAUAUACUCCGGUGCGAAGGAUACAACAUGUUCAUCGAAAGAAAGAUAAAGAAAGUUGAUCAUUGACGAGAAGAGUCGAUCGAUGUAUAAUUUCAGAGAUGAAAUCUCGUAUCGCGAACAUUCUUAAACAUUGGAAUUCAGGGUGAUCGAUGGUUUCAAUUGGACCAGUGGUUAAAAACGUAUCAACCCUGAGAUUCUACGAUUCGUAUGUGUCUAGUCUCGGAAAAGGAAUCCUGCAUUGUUCUCGUUUUAUAUGAUAUGAUCCUUUUUUGUGCUGGCGCAAAUGUGUACGUACUAACGAAAUAAAAUCUUUAUAUGAGA
rnacentral:misc_RNA from 1 species